UUCACUCAUGAGAAUUUUUAUUAUUCUCUCUAAAAAGUCUGGUGUUUCCUAAUCCUUGUAAAGAGCAGGCUUGGGAACAGGUAAAGGGCUGGGUUGAGGAAAAAAAUACUGUUGAAAAGGAUAGUAAACUAGAGCCUGCUGUUUAAUGAAUAUAUACUCAUUCAGUGGAUAUAUUGGAUUUCAUAUUGCAGGUUCCAAAUUCUACUAAAAAAAGAACUCUAUUGGUUGACCGAGGAAAGAAAUCAAUACAUUUCCCAUUGGAAAUUCAUUGUAUAUGAUGUCCUGUUAUUACAUGGUCAGCAUGAUUAUCUUCUUUUGUUCAGAACAAUAGCACAAAUGAUUUAUAAGUAUUUUUCCUGAGUGUACUGUAUACCUGGUGAGGAUUUGUUUGGACACUGAGAUUUUUCUCUGAAUGAUCUUUGAACAUGCUAAAAAAUAGUUAAAAAUAGAAAGCCUAUAUUGCCAUCAGAUUUCAUGGGUGUCUCUUUCUUUAUUCUUUCCCUUCAUCUUUGACAGAACCACUCUCCCUACAUUGCAAAAGUGGUUCACACGUUUGAUAUUGCUUAAGACUAUAGCAAACAAGUCAACCUAGAAAGGUCCAACACUGAUAUCACACACAUUACUUGGAAUGUUGAUAUUGUCCUUUAAGACCAUUAACUUGACCCUCACUGUAUUACAGUAUAAACUGAGGAUAAAAUAGGUUUGGAAUACAGUUCAUGCUCCUGACACAGUGUUACUCACUGGAAAUGACAUAUUCACCUUAAAGCAGCCUUCCCUCUUUUUGAAGUACCAAGACCAUCGUGGAAUUUGAGGAAGAGGCAUAGGAUCUGACUUAAAUUGCUCUGUGUAGCACCACUGUAGCAUUUUCACAUUCCUUUCUCCCCAAGGAAAGAACUAUAACAAAACUAACUUUCUACUUAAUUAUCAGAUGCAAAUUGUUCUUUUCAUCUCUGUCCUCUAUUCCAAACUCACCACCUUCCUACUCUCAUACCUACAUAUUGAGUUUGCCUAGGCAAUAUUAGUAACCAUUUAUCCUGAACAUUAAACCUGCCUAAAUCCAAGGGAACACUGCUCAGCCAUGGCCCCAGCUUAAUCAGUUGUAUAGCCUGCACUUGCCAUUCAACCAUGAAUGUAAUACCUCUUUCUUUGGGACUUUUACUUUGAAUCUCAUUUUCCUUCCAGAGUCCUUGAUCAAAAAAAAAAUUUUUCUGAUUCUUUGUUACAAGAAUGCUUUCUCAGUCCUUCCUUACCAUCAGUUUUGAAACAAUAAGGUUCGCUGUCCUCUGCAAUAUACUCACUGUUUGGACCCUUGAGGUCUUUAUCACCAGUUUGUACUUGUCAAAAUCUGUAUUAAUAAGAGAUGGUUCCUCUAAGCCGUCUACUUCUUUGUAAGAGUGGGGCAACUGAGACCUAGAAGGAACCUGCAGUGCAAAUAAGUAGGACUUUUGAAGGCCUUGUGUGUAAUGUCUUCUCAGGUAAUCUAUUUUGUUUAUUUCCACUAGUUGCUAACAUCUACAGUAUGUACUGAUUCUUCAGAUUUAUCUUGCUUAAUCUAUCUAUCUAACUGUCCAUCUAUCUAUCUAUCUAUCUGUCUGUCUGUCUGUCUAUCUGUCUAUCUAUCUAUCUAUCUAUCUAUCUAUCUAUCUAUCUAUCUAUCUAUCUAUCACCGCCUUUGUUGUCUCUGCCUUUUUCUCCUUAUUUCUUUUUAUUACACUAAAUAUAUAAGCCAAGAUCAAGAGAAGCACAUUAUAUUUUUCAUUCAGUCUUUUAUCUAGGAUCCUCCAGAAUUUUCUUUCCUCAUGAACUAAACCUUGUUUCCCAAAUGUACUGAGAGAAUUACCAUUCAGAAUUUCAAUAUCAGAGCAACUAAAGAGAAGAAGAUGCAUGCUUGGGUGGAUAAUAAAUGCUGGCCAUCUUGGUCUAAACUUUCAAUCAAGUAUGAUACAGAAGAAACUAGCAUGAAAGAUGUGAAGUCUUUGGGAAGUGAUGCCUCAAGGUCAAAGUACAGGAACUGUUUUCCAAAAAUUAUGUGGUCAUAAGUCUAUUGUCUACCAAUUUCGCUAGUGACUUGAUUCACUCAAGUGGCCCUGAUUUUGCAGGCAUGGACACAUCAUUGACAACAGCUGACACUUGUCGUAGUGGCAGGGAUGGAUUUCUGAAGACAUGCCAGAAGAGACUACUUGUUCAAGUACAACUCAGUGACUGCAAGGGGCCAUCAGAGGUAUGUUCUCCUUCAGGGACACAGAAGAAUAAUGCAGGAUACAGGCACUGUGAAAAUUGCCACAUUUUCUUUCUUCAACCACCAUGGACCAGGCUGUCCUUCUGGCAUCUACAAUUGCAGAUUUCAAAGCACAGAAGCACAAGUCAAAGUUAUAGAGGAGAUACUUGUUUCAGUGCCACAGACUUUGUCAUCAAAUACUGUGUCAAUUAAAGGGUAAGGGGCAUGGUCUCAGUUGCCGUACACAACAUUUUCCUUUUUUUUUUAAAUAUUCACUACACUAUUUAGGCUGUCAGUAAAGAAGUUUGUUAUGAUGUAAAAACAAACUUCAAUAUAGUCUUCUUGUGAAGAAAUUUAGAUUGUAUCAGGGUUCACCAUAGGAUCCUGACAAUUCAUUUAUACCUGAAGAACUCGUGAAGGACCAAUUGGAGGGAAAUCAUUAAAUACUGAAGAAGACUGGGUAAAGAAAGAUCAGAGUGAUAAGACAUCAUCUUGAAAAGAUGAGGAAUGAAAAACACACAGACAAGCAGACAGGUGGAUUCUUGCUCAUAGAAAAAUGUUUCUUAUUAAAACAGAAUCAUAUAUGAAAAUAUACAUAUAUCCUAAACAAAAGACUAUGUGUACUGGAUGAAAAUUGAUUGAGGAAGAACACAAUGUCAUUUGUAGGGCAUAUAAGUGUUUUUAUGUUGUUAUUGCUGCUUGUUCUUGUUUCUGCUGUGACUCUGUUCCAGUAUACUUUCAGAGACAUAGCUCUAGAGCAUUGUACAUGUUUGUAAAAUGGUCUACUUGUGUUUAACAGUGUCAAUCCAAUAAUUCAAGAUUUUCUUUUUUUCAAAAGGAAGAUUUUCCCUUAUCAAACAUAUCUCCACUUUCCAAUAAAGAACCCUAAUAUUUUUUAUGAAUUCUAUUAUCAAAAACAAGUUUUGCCUGAACUCAUCAUAGUAAAAUAAAAUUAAAUGUAAAAUUGAUUAGAAGAUCCCUUUCACUGAAUUACUGGCACAGGUGUGGAGGGAUGCUGAAAUCUAUAACAAGUCUUAAGAGCCAGGUGAAUUCUAGACCCAUUGGAAAGGAUUAUGUCCUAGUCCUCAUAACAUGGGAUGUUGAAAACUGUUGAGAGAAUGUCUGUUCAGACAUUUCUGUCUGAGUAGUAUAUCAGUCUUUUCAUUUUCCGCAAUUUUCUCGUGGAGCCAAAAAUUGUAGGACAUAGUUGUAUAAACUGUUGUCAUGUGAUAAAUAAAGUACUUUCUCUUAUCUACGUAGAACUAUUACAUAUCUCUAGGUUCUUGCAGUCAAUCCUCAACCUGUGGACAAAAUGACUUACUCUCCAAUAUCCUCUGAAUAUGAUAGCAGUUUUCCAAACAUCUAACUCAUAUUUUAAGGAGGCCACUUUAAUAUUAAUAUUUUCCAUUUUUAUUAAAAUACCUCCCUCCUCCCCCAAAGGAAUUCUCGACCGUUAAAAGUACAAACUACUCAUUCAAGAAAACUGUUCAAUUAACACUACCUAUAUGUCUGCUUCCCAUAAUCUGUGAUGCAAGUGGAGAGGAGCUGAAGACUCACUCUCCUGUCCUCUUCAGACAUGUGCUCCAUAGAAAAAUAUUCAAAGAGUAAUAUACAGUAGCAAACAAUAAAAUACUCUUUUAAAAUAUUUGUCUUUGCAAUUGGCAAAUUUUUCUCAGCUUGCAGCUUUCUUUAUUGGAUAUAUUUUAUUUACUUUUCAAAUGUUAUCCCAUUUCCUGGAUUCCCAUCCAUAACGCAUCUAAGCCAUACCCCAUCCCACUUCUUCUAUGAGGGUGUUCCCCCACCAAACCACUCACCCAUCACCUCCCAACACUGAAAUUUCCAAACACUGAGCGGUCCAGCUGUGGCAGGACAAAGGACUUCUGCAUUCAUUGGUACCCAACAAGGCCAUCCCUGCUAUAUAUGCAUCUGGACCUAUGGGUCUAUCCAUGUGUACUCUUUGGAUGAUGACUUAGUGCCUGGGAGCUCUGGUUGGUCGGUAUUGUUGUUCCUAUGGAGUUGCAAACUCCUUCAGCUCCUUCAAUUCUUUGUUCAAUGCCUGCGAGGCAGACCACACUCUCAUUCUAUGGUUGGCUGUGAGCAUUUGCCUCUGAAUUUGACAAGCUCUAGUAGAGCAUCUCAGGAGACAGCUAUGUCAGGCUCCUUUCAGCAUGCAAUUCUCAGCACUAGCAAUAUUGUUGGGUUUGGUAGCUUUAUGUAUAUGGGAUGGAUCCCCAUGUGUGGCAGGUUCUGAGUGGCCAAACUUUAUCUCCCUAUCUCCUCCGAUGAAUACUUUUGUUCUUCCUUUUAAGAACAAUCCACACUUUGGUCCUCCUUCUUGAGCUUCAUUUGGUCUAUGGAUUGUACCUUUUGUAGUUCAAGCUUUUGGACUAAUAUCCACUGAUCAGUGAGUGCACAUCAUGUGUUUAUUUUUGUGAUUGUGUUACCUCACUCAAGAUGAUAUUUUCUAGUUCUAUAUUUGCCUAUGAACAUUAUGAAGUCAUUCUUUUUGAUAGCUGAGUAGAACUACAUUGUUUAGAUGUACUACAUUUUCUGUAUCCAUUCAUCUGUUGAAGGGCAUCUGUGUUAUUUCCAGGUUCUGACUGUUAUAAAUAAGGCUUCUAUGAACAUAGUGGGGCAUGUGUCUUUAUCAUAUGUUGGAGCAUGAUUUGGGUAUAUGCCCAGGAGAGGUAGAGCUGGGUCCUAGGAUAUUUAAAUGUCCUAUUUUCUGAGGAACAUCCAGACUUAUUUCCAGAGUGGUUAUACUAGUAGCAUUCCAUCAUCAAUGGAGGAGUGUUACUCUUUCUCCACAUCCUUGUCAGCAUCUGUUGUCACCUGAGUUUUAAUCUUAGCCAUUCUGACAGGUAUGAUUUGGAAUGUCAGGGUUCUUUUGAUUUGCAUUUCCCUGAUGACUAAGGAUGUUGAACAGUUCUUAGGUGCAUUUUGACCAUUUGAUAUUCCUCAGUUGAGAAUUCUUUGUUUAGUUCUGUACCCCAUUUCUAAUAGAAUUAUUUGGUUUUUUGAAGUCUAGCUUCUUGAUUUCUUUGUAUAUUUUGGAUAUUAGCCUCUAUCAGAUAUAAGAUUGGUAAAGAUCUUUUCCCAAUCUGUUCAUUGCCAUUUCGUCCCAAUGACAGUGUCAUUUGCCUUACAGAAGAUUUGCAAUUUUAUGAAGUUCCAGUCUUCCAUUCUUGAUCUUAGAAUAUAAGUCAUUGGUGUUUGUUCAGGAAAAUUUCCCCAGUGAAAAUGUGUUCGAGGAUCUUAACCACAUUUUUUCCAUUAGCUUGAGUGUAUCUGGUUUGAUGUGGAUGUUCUUGAUCCACUUGGACUUAAACUUUGUACAAUGCGAUAAGAAUGCAAAAAUUUGCAUUCUCCUACAUGAGGACCUCCUGUUGAAUCAGCACAAUUUGGUGAAAAUUCUAUCUUUUAUCCACUGGAUGGUUUUAGCUCCUUUGUCAAAGAUCAAGUGAACAUAGGCAAGUGGCUUCAUUUCUGAGACUUCAGUAAUAUUCAAUUGAACUACCUGCCUGUCUCUAUAGCAGUAACAUACAGUAUGUAUCAGAAUUAUUCUGCAAUACUGCCUGAGGUCAGGGAUGGGGAUUUCCACAAGAAGUUCAUUUAUUGUUAAGGAUAAUUUCCACUAUCCUGGGAUAUUUGCUAUUCAAAAUGGACUUGCAAAUUGUACUUUCUAACUCUAUGAAGAAUUGAGUUGGAAUUUUGAUGGGGAUUGCUUUUGGUAUUAUUCCCUGACAAACAAUCCUUGCUUACAUAUUAGUAAAAGAAUACUUUUAACCUCAUACAUAUGAGGUAUACAUGUUUCACUCUUGAGGAGAUAUAUUGUGCUAUAUAAUAUGUCUUGUGUUUCCUAAUUCUUGUAAUGAGAUACAUGGGGAACAGGUAUGAUGCUGAGUUUUAAGGAAAUAAAAUACUGUUGAAAGGAUAAUAAAUUAGAAACUGAUGCUUUAUUAAUAUAUAUUCAUUUAGUGUAUAUUCUGGAUUUCAUGAUGCAGUUUGAAAAUUUUAAAGAAGAAUUCUAUUUAUUGAAUGAGGAGAGAAUUCAAUAGAUAUCCCAUUAGUAAUGCACUGAAUUUGAUAUACUGUGAUUCAAGGCAAGCAUGCUUCAAUGCAUUAGACCAUCUUCCUCUGUCCAGAACAACAGUAUGAAGAAUUUAUAGCUUUGUUUUGUUUUUUUAUUGUUUUUAUUUUUUCAUGACCAUACUGUAUACCUGGUAAGGAGCUGGGUGAAAAUUCUGAGAUUUUUUUGAAUAGUAUUGUUAUUCAACAUGCUAACAAACAUUAGUUAAUAAAAGCAAAAACUAUGUUGCCAUCAGAUUUCAUAGGGGUAUCUUUCUUAAUUCUACCUUCCCUUCUCAAAUGAUUUAUUUCCUCUACUGACUAACAUUUUCAAAAUCUACUGACCUUGAGAUUUAUCCUGUUUAAUAUCUCUUCUCUCCUUCAAUCUCUCUCUCUCUGUCUCUCUGUCUCUCUGUCUCUCUGUCUCUGUGUGUGUGUGUGUGUGUGUGUGUGUGUGUGUGUGUGUGUGUCUUUCUAUCCUUAUCUCUGUUUCAUCACACUGGAUAUAAAAAAAGAAAUUAAGAGGAACACAUUGUAUUUUAUAUUCAUUCUUUUAGACACAAUCCUUCACAAUUUCCCUGUUUCUUGAAUGUACUGGAGGAAGUUUCAAUGCAAAAAUUUCAAUGCCAGAGCCAACAAAGUGAAGAAAUUCCUACCUUGGAUGGAUAAUAAAUCCUGGCCAUCUGAGUCUAAACAAUCACUCAAUGGUGAUAAAUAAGAGACUAGAAUCAUACAUUUGAAUGUUCUGGAAAGUCAUGCCUCAGGGUCAGCAUGCAGAAAUUGUGUUCCAAAAAUGUUGAGGCCAUAACUCUGUCACUCACUAGGAACUAGAUUCAACCAAGUGGCACUGUUAUGAAGGCAUUGAGACAUCAUGGUCAGCAGCUAAGGGUUGCCACUGCGUAGGAAGGACAGGUCUCCAGAAACAUGCCAGAUGAGUCUACAGGUUAAACUGCAGCCCAGUUGCUGAAAGGCAACCCACUUUUGGGGGGUUCAAGUAGCAUAGGAUGACCAGCAAUUUCAGUAGCAUCCAUGGUGUGGAGAGAGCCAUAACCUAGAAGAGCAGCUGCACAUAUGCAGCAAAGGGCCGAGCUAGAGAAG